GGACGACGUGCCUUGUGUCCUGACCUUUCGUCGUUUUGUAGUCUCUUUGCUUGAGCUCAAACCGGUGCUCCCAGCCGCAACAACUGACACACUAAUAUAUCAAAAAGUUUCGUUGAAUAGAAUCGGAAUCAAAUCUCCGU
ensembl:ncRNA ZK675.6 ncRNA